rnacentral:rRNA from 1 species
UACGAAGGGGGCUAGCGUUGUUCGGAAUCACUGGGCGUAAAGCGCACGUAGGCGGAUCGUUAAGUCGGGGGUGAAAUCCCGAGGCUCAACCUCGGAACUGCCUUCGAUACUGGCGAUCUUCGAGUCCGGGAGAGGUGAGUGGAACUCCGAGUGUAGAGGUGAAAUUCGUAGAUAUUCGGAAGAACACCAGUGGCGAAGGCGGCUCACUGGCCCGGUACUGACGCUGAGGAGCGAAAGCGUGGGGAGCAAACAGG